GAUGAACGCUGGCGGCGUGCCUAAUACAUGCAAGUCGAGCGAACAGACGAGGAGCUUGCUCCUCUGACGUUAGCGGCGGACGGGUGAGUAACACGUGGAUAACCUACCUAUAAGACUGGGAUAACUUCGGGAAACCGGAGCUAAUACCGGAUCAUAUAUUGAACCGCAUGGUUCAAUAGUGAAUGACGGUUUUGCUGUCACUUAUAGACGGUUCCGCGCCGCAUUAGCUAGUUGGUAAGGUAACGGCUUACCAAGGCAACGAUGCGUAGCCGACCUGAGAGGGUGAUCAGCCACACUGGAACUGAGACACGGUCCAGACUCCUACGGGAGGCAGCAGUAGGGAAUCUUCCGCAAUGGGCGAAAGCUUGACGGAGCAACGCCGCGUGAGUGAUGAAGGUCUUCGGAUCGUAAAACUCUGUUAUUAGGAAAGAACAAAUGUGUAAGUAACUAUGCACGUCUUGACGGUACCUAAACAGAAAGCCACGGCUAACUACGUG
rnacentral:rRNA from 1 species